GACAGUUACAGCUCUUUUACAAUUUGUCUUGCAGGCUUUCUGUUUUUGUUUUUUUUUAUCAGAAAGCCUCC
ensembl:snRNA U7 U7 small nuclear RNA